rnacentral:rRNA from 1 species
UACGGGGGGGGCAAGCGUUGUUCGGAAUUACUGGGCGUAAAGGGCUCGUAGGCGGCCAACUAAGUCGGACGUGAAAUCCCCAGGCUCAACCUGGGAACUGCGUCCGAUACUGGAUGGCUUGAAUUCGGGAGAGGGAAGCAGAAUUCCAGGUGUAGCGGUGAAAUGCGUAGAUAUCUGGAGGAAUACCGGUGGCGAAGGCGGCAUCCUGGACCGACAUUGACGCUGAGGAGCGAAAGCUAGGGGAGCAAACGGG